rnacentral:pre_miRNA from 1 species
AAAUCCAAGAACUUUAAAUGCCUUAAAUUCCCGAUAAAUUCAGGCGAUGACCGAAUAUAUUUCGGGAUUUAAAGCAUUUGAAGUUCUGGAUUUAUC